UUGUGUAAAAAAAACUAGGAUAUUCUAUAUACGCCCUAGUCAAAACACGUCAAUACUUUGAUAGUAAAGCGCUUAAGCUGAUAUAUUUUAGCAUCUUUCACACUCACUUUCAAUACUGUGUGGAAUCCUGGGGUUUCACCUAUCAAAGCUACAAAAUUGGUCCCUAGGGUUUUUAGACCGGAAAAUACGGCACUUUAAAGCAUUUGUUGCUUACGCUAGAAAGUUAAAUGAACCCUGCCAUCAGUGUUCACUCUCUUCGGAGCAAUAACUUCCCUGUCAAUCAUGUUCAGGAACCGACAGUUGGAGCCAAGUCAUUAAAAUCCAUAACAGGCAGGUGGUAAUUUAACAAUAAAAAGGCAUUCGUACCCUCCUCCCUGGAAAUUAUUUUGCGUGCCUAAUUUUUUUCCGUUUCCCCAGAUCUACAGAAGUGCUCUUUAUGGCUCUGUGUCCCUCUACCCUGUCAUGGUCGCAAGCGAAGCCUGCACCGCAAUUGCCAUCACCAUCACCAUCGUCUGAAGGUAUGUAUACACCACUUGACUACAGCCAUAGAGGAGUGUGCUCAAAUAUCAAAGGGCUAAAUGCCAGCGUGCAGCUCUUUUAAAUUGAACAAUAUUCCAAAGCAUGUGUAUUUCAGGCCAGAAAGAAGUUCUGCACUUCAGCGGUCUACGGUGGUGUUGGUUGACUUUCUGCGGAGCUGUAACUUCCUUGUGAAUCGUGCUAGAGCAGUGCCAUUUGAAGCCAAAUCAGUAACAAUCAUAACAUACAAACAGCUGGGCUCUGUCUGGCUAUGCAUCCCUCUGUCCUUUCGUGGUCGCAAGCGAGGCCUGCAGUACAAUUGCCAUCAACAUCGUCUGAAAUGAGUUCUUCCACAAGAUCCAAGCUGCUAAAAAAGUUGUCAGCUGACACUUUGAAACCUUCAUCGGAUGGCACUUCACUGCACAUGCUGAGGACAGUGUCGCCUCCAAGCCCAUAUGUGUAUUCUUGAUUGGACUGUCCCUGGUAAACUUUAAACUGGUAAAAAAAUGCCAGUCAUACCGCAAAACUGCCGUAAAGUUCAUGGGCAAGGGUGUUAGCGAACUUUUACGCCGGUUAACAAAACCACCGAUACAUGUAACCAAAUCCGAGACAAAGUUUCGAUUUGCUUCCACCGAUCACCGGACUCCUGGCCUCCCCGCCAGCC